rnacentral:rRNA from 1 species
AGCCUACGGGUGGCUGCAGUAGGGAAUAUUGCGCAAUGGGCGAAAGCCUGACGCAGCGACGCCGCGUGAGUGAUGAAGGCCUUAGGGUCGUAAAGCUCUGUUGAAUGGGAAGAAAAAAAUGACGGUACCAUUCGAGAAAGGACCGGCUAACUUCGUGCCAGCAGCCGCGGUAAGACGAGGGGUCCUAGCGUUGUUCGGAAUCAUUGGGCGUAAAGCGUGUGUAGGUGGCCUUAUAAGUCAGGUGUGAAAGCCCCGGGCUCAACCCGGGAAGUGCACUUGAUACUGUUUGGCUUGAGGACCGAAGAGGAUAGUGGAAUUCCAGGUGUAGUGGUGAAAUACGUAGAUAUCUGGAGGAACACCGGUGGCGAAGGCGGCUAUCUGGUCGAGUACUGACACUGAGACACGAAAGCAUGGGGAUCAAACAGGAUUAGAUACCCGAGUAGUCGA